rnacentral:lncRNA from 1 species
AUUUCUCAAGGUUUAACAUGUCAAGUUUCACAUGCAUUACAACCAUAACCCAUUAUCCAUCAAUUUCCUAUAACACACAUAUUUACAUGUAUAUAUAUACAUAUAUACCCAUCAUCAUCAUCACCAGCUCAUGCGCACUCCCUACUCGCAUAUGGCUGGGUCAUCACCAGGUUAUGCGCACUCCCUACUCGCACAUAACUGGGUCAUCCUCAACUUAUGCGCACUCCCUACUUGCAAAUAGCCGAGUCAAUAUAAUUACACAACAUUAUACUCAAGCAUAUAUGUAUAUCAACAUAAUGCAGCCACAUAAAAAUCCAUAAUAAUCACAUUUCAUAACAUUAACCUUUUCUCAAAAGCUUGUUCCCAAGGCAUUCAUUUUCAUAAAAAAUUGUAUAAAACCAAUCAAACACUUUGUCAAAUCCAUCAUAUUCCCAAAAUCAGUUUUGAAGGUAGUCCACUCACCAAUUGAUUGUAGAACUUUUAAUUGACUCAAAUUCCCCUAAUGAUCCAAUUGGAAUGAUGGGGCUUCCUUAAAAACCU